AUAAACUAUAGAUAAGCUGGGGCAGGUUCUGAAGGUCAUUUCUUUUGGUAACAUUGUUCACCUAAUUUGGUGAACAUACAGUGUUUUUAAGUCUAUUUCAUUGAAUUCUGUUUACCUGUGUCUUCAGAAAAUAGUUGCAUGAAUUAUAGAAUACAUCUGUUCCUUCUAGAGAUCUGAGGAGCUUAAAAUGUGUUUUACCCUUACUGCUGAUAAAACAUAUACUGUGCAGAUAAAUGAACCAAGAAGUUAUUAAUACCUUUUCUGCUUUGCCUCUUUUAUUUCUCAGUUCUUUUAGAGUUCACUCCCAAUAUUCAGGAUUCUACAGAUUUCUAAAUAACCUUUCCAGUAUCUUACAUUAAAGUUUGAGGAGUAUAUAUUUUCUCAAACAGAGAUGUCUGAGCAGAGUGAGAAUGAAUUCUCAUAGAACAAAACUUGCCAAGCAUAUGUGAUGGAACUGUAGGGAAAAAGAGCCUAACUCUAAUUUUCAGUAAAGCUUAAAAUAGCUACACUGUUAUUAUGUAUGAGGCCUGACAAUUGACAUUUCUCAUUUUGGCAGCAUUCACCUACAGCCCCCUGUCAGGAAAUGAAUGUGUUCAUCUCCAGGGUAAAUGAUUAAUGAGCUGUCUAUCAUUUCCACUCCUUUGUACCAAGUGGUAGAGGCUUCCCUUGAUCAUAUUGCAGCCAUCAGCGUCAUUACUGAAAUGGACUGUGCCUUGAGAGGGUUAUACUAGACUAAUAGAUUAGCAUUUAAAUAAAGAAUUAACUUAUGGC
rnacentral:lncRNA from 1 species